AUAAGUGAUUUGUAAAGGCGGGAAGUUGUGUUGAAUUGGUAUCCGAAUCUACAACGAGGUAUGUAAAGCAUACUCUAACGAUGUUCUUUGGCAUGAAAACACCAAUGUUCCAUCAAGUAAGAUUCCGAGGUUGUCCAAAAACAUGUAUUGUUCUACAUUACCAACGAAGUUGUUUCCAUUCUAUAAAGUGUCAAAAUGUUUCAUUGAUAUACCGAAAGGCUCCUAUUUCAUUGUUGUGAUAUUGAUGAUUCCGAAACACAUUGUUGAUGUACCAAUGAGUCUUUAUUACAUCGUUAUUGUAUAGAAAGUCUAUUACUUGGUUCCUAUUGAUGUAUCAUUAUUCCAAAGGUACUAUAUUGGCAUGAACACUAAUGUAAUAAUCUCAAAAGCUUUUGAACUAAGUUAUUGGAAAGAUCUCUUAUGUGUGUUACUUGAUAUACGUGUGGGUGGUAGCUCAGGGGCUUAAGCCUAGCAUGGGCCGAUCCCGAUAUUUGAUAUGAUUACAGUUGAUAUGUACUGGGGGCAGCCUAAUGGUCACAGUACGGUACAGUAUUGAUUAUUGUUAGGUGGUUGGAGGUUCGGGAGGAGGAGGUAAUGGCGAAUGAUAAUUGUAAAGAAUAAAAUGAACGAAUGUAUACCGUUCCACAAAUGUGUUUGAAUUCAAGAACCCAAUUCAGAUUAAUGAUAAUGUACAUGAUCUUAAACGUGUUUAUGAAGUGUGGUUCACUUCUAUUAUGAUUUAUUCACUUGCGUCUGAUUUUCUUGAUCCCUCAUACUAUAUAUGAUUAUUUACAGCUUUACAUACUUAGUACAUAUUUCGUACUGACGUCCCCCACGGGGACCUGCAUUUCAUGCUGUAGGCACAGGUGCUUCAGCUCAUUCACAGCAUAGAUAGGAGUCAGGUCAUACAGCUAUUGUUGGUGAGCUCCAGUUUGCUUCGGAGCUUUUCGAGUCGGUCCCUUAUGUUUUGUUAUUGUACAGGAGUCAUGUGUGGGCGGGGGUUUGUCCCGACCCUAGUUAUGUCAUGUAUAUCCUAGAGGCUUUGUAGACAUAAGGAGGGGUAAAGUCAUGGAAGUUUAUAUAGUGAUGUUAUAUUUGUAUAUGUGGUGGCCCCGACGGCCAAGUAUU
rnacentral:lncRNA from 1 species